UGAGUACGAGACGCUAAGGCGUUGAAGCAGUCUAUGUCAGACUUCCAAGAAAAGCUCGCAAUGUCAUAACAAAACCUGCCUGUACCAUAACCGACACAGGUGGGUAGGUAGAGUAUACUAAGGGGCGCGAGAUAACUCUCUCUAAGGAACUCGGCAAAAUGACUCCGUAACUUCGGGAGAAGGAGUGCCUUAUUUUUAUAAGGUUGCAAUAACAAGAUCCAAGCAACUGUCUACCAAAAACACAGGUCUCCGCUAAGUCGUAAGACGAUGUAUGGGGGCUGACGCCUGCCCAGUGCCAGAAGGUUAAAGAAGUUGGUUAGUUUCGGCGAAGCUGAUGACUGAAGCCCUGGUGAACGGCGGCCGUAACAAUAACGGUCCUAAGGUAGCGAAAUUCCUUGUCGGGUAAGUUCCGACCCGCACGAAAGGCGUAAUGAUUUGGAUACUGUCUCGGAGAGGGGCUCGGUGAAAUAGACUUGUCUGUGAGGAUGCGGACUACCUGCACCUGGACAGAAAGACCCUAUGAAGCUUUACUGUAACUUGAGAUUGAAAUUGGACUUUAUUUGCGCAGUAUAGGUGGGAGACGUUGAGAAUAUUCUUGCGGGAAUAUUGGAGUCAUCAGUGAGAUACCACUCUUGUAAUGUUAGAUUUCUAACUUUGUAUCAUGAUCUGGUCAAAGGACAGUUUCAGGCGGGCAGUUUGACUGGGGCGGUCGCCUCCCAAACGGUAACGGAGGCGCACAAAGGUUUCCUCUGAACGUGUAGAAAUCGUAUCUAGAGUGUAAAGGCAUAAGGAAGCUUGACUGUGAGACCUACAAGUCGAGCAGGGACGAAAGUCGGUCUUAGUGAUCUGACGGUGCUGAGUGGAAAGGCCGUCACUCAACGGAUAAAAGUUACUCUAGGAUAACAGGCUGAUCUCCCCCAAGAGUUCACAUCGACGGGGAGGUUUGGCACCUCGAUGUCGGCUCAUCGCAUCCUGGGGCGGUAGUACGUCCCAAGGGUUGGGCUGUUCGCCCAUGAAAGCGGUACGCGAGCUGGGUUCAGAACGUCGUGAGACAGUUCGGUCCAUAUCCGGUGUAGGCGUUAGAAUAUUGAGAGGAGCCUUCUUUAGUACGAGAGGACCGAGAAGGACAUACCUCUGGUGUACCAGUUAUCGUGCCAACGGUAAACGCUGGGUAGCUAUGUAUGGAGUGGAUAACCGCUGAAAGCAUCUAAGUGGGAAGCCCACCUCAAGAUAAG
rnacentral:rRNA from 1 species